AUCUCUGCUGGAAAACACACGUUUGGAGUAUUUGAAACAAUCAAGGGAAGAGACGUUCACUCGGUGAGUCUGUGGAAAAAUAACUUCAGUAUCAAAUGGCUGAGAAAAUAACUCUUGUUGAAAGUUACCUGAACUGCCACGUGUGUUCAGAGACUUUCAGAGAUCCUGUGUCUCUGAGCUGCAACCACAGCUUCUGUUCAAGCUGCCUGCAGAAAUUCUGGGAACAAGCUGGAAACAAAAACUGUCCCAUUUGUAAAAGAAAAUCAUCAAAAAAUUAUCCAGGAGUCAACUUUCCACUGAAGGAACUGGCUGACUCCUUUGCUGAGAGACAGAAAACUGGAUCAUCUGAGACAGAAAAAGGAGAGAAGAAGGUGGAGGAGGUGUGCAGUAAACAUAAAGAAGAGCCAAGAUUGUUCUGUGAGGACGAGCAGAGAGCUGUGUGUCCUGUCUGUGAGUUUUCUCUCCACCAGAGUCACAAGGUGGUUCCUGUAGAACAAGCAGUCCGGGACCUGAAGGAGCAGCUGAAAUCUGACUUAGAGUCUCUGCAGGACAAGAGGGACAAAUACAAACAAGUGGAGGAAACAUACAAUGAAGUGAUUCAACAGUCCGAGAAGCAGCUGUUGUCCACAGAGAGGCAGAUCAGAGCAGAGUUCAACAAGCUCCACCAGUUCCUGAAAGAGGAAGAGGAGUCCAGACUGGCAGCUCUGAGGGAGGAAGAGGAGCAGAAGAGGAAGACUGUGAGCAGAGAGAUCAAGAAGAUUCAGGAGCAGAUCUCCUCUCUGUCAGACAGGAUCUCUGCUGUUGAAGAAGAGCUGCAGAAACCCAGCGUGCCAUUCCUCAGCAGUUAUAAAGCCACUCAGACCAGAGCCAGAGUCCAGCGCUCACUGUCAGAUCCACAGCUGCUCUCAGGAGCGCUGAUAGAUGUGGCCAAACACCUGGGCAACCUGUCCUUCAGAGUCUGGGAGAAGAUGAAGGACAAGGUCCACUUCAGUCCUGUCAUUCUGGACCCAAACACUGCAGCACGCAGUCUCUAUCUGUCUGAUGAUCUGACCAGUGUGAGACGUGGAGACACAAAGCAGCAGCUUCCUGACAAUCCAGAGAGAAACACUAAGUAUGCAGAAGUUCUGGGCUCUGAGGGCUUCAGCUCAGGGAAACACAGCUGGGAGGUGGAGGUGGGAGACCAUCCUGGCUGGACUGUAGGUUUGGCUAAAGAGUCAGUUGACAGGAAGGGAGAGACAUUUCCCUCACCAAAAUAUGGAUUCUGGUGUUUAAAGCAUCACAGUGGAAAAUACACUGAUGGAGUUGGUAAGACUGUCAGAGUGAAGAAGAGUCUCCAGAGGAUCAGAGUCCAGCUGGACUAUGACAGGGGGGAGGUGUCCUUCUACAACCCUGAAGACAUGACUCACCUCUGCACUCACAGAGACACUUUCACUGAGAAACUCUUCCCAUAUUUAUAUAUUGGUGCAGCUGGUGAUGCUGAAACCUCUGAUAUCAAAAUCUGUCACACUGAGAUUUCUCUGUGACGUUCAGGAAUACACCUGUACAUGGAAACUGUCCUGUACUGACUCUGACAGACAUCCUGACUGCGCCAUCUGCUGGUGAGAAGAUGACAUGGCAACACUUCCUGCUGUUCAUUCAGCCUGUGACAGAGGAGAGAUCAUAGACUGAGAGUGUGAAAGUUAAACUGACAGUAGAUUUGGACAUUGUUGAACAGAGCUGAGACGCCAUCACAGGGUGAGAGAUCUCUGCUGGAAAACACACGUUUGGAGUAUUUGAAACAAUCAAGGGAAGAGACGUUCACUCGACACCUGUACAUGGAAACUGUCCUGUACUGACUCUGACAGACAUCCUGACUGCGCCAUCUGCUGGUGAGAAGAUGACAUGGCAACACUUCCUGCUGUUCAUUCAGCCCGUGACAGAGGAAAGUGAAACUAAAAGCAGAUUUGGACAUUGUUGAACAGAGCUGAGACGCCAUCACAGGGUGAGAGAUCUCUGCUGGAAAACACACGUUUGGAGUAUUUGAAACAAUCAAGGGAAGAGACGUUCACUCGAGACUUUCAGAGAUCCUGUGUCUCUGAGCUGCAACCACAGCUUCUGUUCAAGCUGCCUGCAGAAAUUCUGGGAACAAGCUGGAAACAAAA